rnacentral:pre_miRNA from 1 species
GUGUGGUGUUCAGCACCAGCGACAGGUAUGUAUAUCUGUGUGUGGAUGGUGUUCAGCACCAAGGACAGAUGUGUGUACCU